GUCCCUUUGCUUAGAGUGGUUAUAAGCCUGUUUGCAACACAGUGAAGGUUGGUUUAAUUCCAACAAGGGACUCCA
rnacentral:tRNA from 1 species